rnacentral:rRNA from 1 species
AUUGAACGCUGGCGGCAUGCCUUACACAUGCAAGUCGAACGGCAGCACGGGAGCAAUCCUGGUGGCGAGUGGCGAACGGGUGAGUAAAGUAUCGGAACGUGCCCAGUCGUGGGGGAUAACGUAGCGAAAGUUACGCUAAUACCGCAUACGAUCUAUGAAUGAAAGCGGGGGAUCGCAAGACCUCGCGCGAUUGGGGCGGCCGAUAUCAGAUUAGGUGGUUGGUGGGGUAAAGGCUCACCAAGCCGACGAUCUGUAGCUGGUCUGAGAGGACGACCAGCCACACUGGGACUGAGACACGGCCCAGACUCCUACGGGAGGCAGCAGUGGGGAAUUUUGGACAAUGGGCGCAAGCCUGAUCCAGCCAUGCCGCGUGCAGGAUGAAGGCCUUCGGGUUGUAAACUGCUUUUGUACGGAACGAAAAGGUUUGACUUAAUACGUUGACUCAUGACGGUACCGUAAGAAUAAGCACCGGCUAACUACGUGCCAGCCGCCGCCGUAA